rnacentral:rRNA from 1 species
GAUGAACGCUGGCGGCGUGCCUAAUACAUGCAAGUAGAACGCACAGUUUAUACCGUAGCUUGCUACACCAUAGACUGUGAGUUGCGAACGGGUGAGUAACGCGUAGGUAACCUGCCUGGUAGCGGGGGAUAACUAUUGGAAACGAUAGCUAAUACCGCAUAAUAUUGAUUAUUGCAUGAUAAUUGAUUGAAAGAUGCUAUUGCAUCACUACCAGAUGGACCUGCGUUGUAUUAGCUAGUAGGUGAGGUAACGGCUCACCUAGGCGACGAUACAUAGCCGACCUGAGAGGGUGAUCGGCCACACUGGGACUGAGACACGGCCCAGACUCCUACGGGAGGCAGCAGUAGGGAAUCUUCGGCAAUGGACGAAAGUCUGACCGAGCAACGCCGCGUGAGUGAAGAAGGUUUUCGGAUCGUAAAGCUCUGUUGUAAGAGAAGAACGGAUGUGAGAGUGGAAAGUUCACACUGUGACGGUAUCUUACCAGAAAGGGACGGCUAACUACGUG